rnacentral:rRNA from 1 species
UACGUAGGUGGCAAGCGUUAUCCGGAUUUAUUGGGCGUAAAGGGAACGCGGCGGCGCGCCAAGUCUGAUGUGAAACCCCGGGGCUCAACCCCGGGCAUGCAUUGGAAACUGGCGGGCUGGAGUGCCGGAGAGGUAAGCGGAAUUCCUAGUGUAGCGGUGAAAUGCGUAGAUAUUAGGAGGAACACCAGUGGCGAAGGCGGCUUACUGGACGGCAACUGACGCUGAGGCUCGAAAGCGUGGGGAGCAAACAGG